CCUACGCGAGGCUGCAGUGAGGAAUAUUGGUCAAUGGGCGUGAGCCUGAACCAGCCAAGUCGCGUGAGGGAUGAAGGUUCUAUGGAUCGUAAACCUCUUUUAUAAGGGAAUAAAGUGUGGGACGUGUCCUGUUUUGUAUGUACCUUAUGAAUAAGGAUCGGCUAACUCCGUGCCAGCAGCCGCGGUAAUCCGGCGGAUCCGAGCGUUAUCCGGAUUUAUUGGGUUUAAAGGGUGCGUAGGUUGUUGUUUAAGUCAGCUGUGAAAGUUUGUGGCUCAACCAUAAAAUUGCGGUUGAAACUGGAAGACUUGAGUGUGUUUGAGGUAGGCGGAAUGCGUGGUGUAGCGGUGAAAUGCAUAGAUAUCACGCAGAACUCCGAUUGCGAAGGCAGCUUACUAAGCCAUAACUGACACUGAAGCACGAAAGCGUGGGGAUCAAACAGGAUUAGAUACCCGAGUAGUC
rnacentral:rRNA from 1 species